rnacentral:lncRNA from 1 species
CUGAGGUCAUGGCACGAAUCACAGUGGGGCCUUGCCCGGGUCAGCAGCACCCAGAGUCAGGGUCCUCCGCUGCCUGAGGCGUCAACAUGCCUGCCUGCAACGUGUUUGUGCACGGCCUAGGGGAUGCCAAAUUCCAGGGUCCAGAAAGAGCUUGGGAUAAAAUGAAACUUCAAGGGGACGGCUUUGACCUGGGCUGAGUCUGUCUGUGCCAUCCAACUGGAGUCUCAAGUCCUGAGGCAGGACGUCCAGAUGCCCCAGUGCAGGGCCCUCCUGAUCAACACCUGCUCCCCUGUACUCAUUAGCAACCUCACCCACCCUACUCUCAAAGCACACUUGGCUCUCGUAUCCAGGAGCUCUGCAUCUAUAGAUUCAGCAACAGCAGAUGGAAAAUAUUCAGAAAAUAAAUUGGAUGGUUAUGUUUCUAUUGAACAUGUGCAGACUUUGUUCUUGUCAUCAUUCCCUAAA